rnacentral:tRNA from 1 species
UCUCUUAGUACAAUAUUCAGUACAACUGACUUCCAAUCAGUUAGUCUUAGCAAUAAACCUAAGAGAGAGUA